rnacentral:tRNA from 1 species
AUUUAUAUAGUUUAAAUAAAACAUUAUAUUUUCAAUAUAAAAAUAAAAUUUUAUUUUUAUAAAUA